GACGAACGCUGGCGGCGUGCUUAACACAUGCAAGUCGAACGGAAAGGCCCUGCUUUUGUGGGGUUCUCGAGUGGCGAACGGGUGAGUAACACGUGAGUAACCUGCCCUUGACUUUGGGAUAACUUCAGGAAACUGGGGCUAAUACCGGAGAGGAGCUCCUGCUGCAUGGUGGGGGUUGGAAAGUUUCGGCGGUUGGGGAUGGACUCGCGGCUUAUCAGCUUGUUGGUGGGGUAGUGGCUUACCAAGGCUUUGACGGGUAGCCGGCCUGAGAGGGUGACCGGCCACAUUGGGACUGCGAUACGGCCCAGACUCCUACGGGCGGCAGCAGUGGGGAGUAUUGCACAAUGGGCGGAAGCCUGAUGCAGCAACGCCGCGUGCGGGAUGACGGCCUUCGGGUUGUAAACCGCUUUCGCCUGUGACGAAGCGUGAGUGACGGUAAUGGGUAAAGAAGCACCGGCUAACUACGUG
rnacentral:rRNA from 1 species